UCAUUGAUGAUAGAGCUAACUCUCCAAGGAACUUCCCAAUGACCCUGCAUUGCUUCAAUGAUGAGCUUAGAGUCCCCUUCCACCGACACUUUAGUGAAACCCUUGCACCUAGCACAUUGGAAACCCUCUCACAAACCCAUCGCUUCUGCAACCGAAAUAGUAGUGCCAUCAAGAUUAAGAGCCCCCACCCCAAUCACUUGUGAAUUAAUGUUACGAAGCAUAAAGGCAGUAGCAGCACGGUUGUUCGAAACUGAACCAUCAAAAUUGAGCUAACCACAUCACGCUGGUCAGGAGGAUGUCAUUUAAUAGAGGAAGACAUAGGUAAAGCCUCCUUGGGGUCACACUGAGAAAAGUUGAACCAACACUACAUGCGAUAGAUAUAAAAACAUGCCGGGACCAAAGGCACACUUUUGAACACCAAGUUAUUUCUUUCCGUCCAUAUAUGAUAGCUCCACUUUAGGGUUAAUGUAUAAUAUGUAUAAUAAAUCUAUGUUAUAGGGCAGACACAGAAUACUCAAUCCUUUCCUUUUACAUAGAUAGAAAAUAAAUUUAAUUUGUAAUGGAUGGAGGUAGAUUACGUUACAGGGUAAACAAAAAUAACCUGUGAAAGAGGUCGAUUAAAAAAGUUGUAGUACAAGUAGAUAAAUACAUUUAAUGUAUGACAAGUAUGAAACCCAACAGAAACUCAAAGAUAUGGUAGAGGUAGAUAAAUAACAUGCGUAAUUACAAGAAGCCUUCCAUAAAAGAAAAAAUUUCGGAGACCUACAUCACAAGUAGAUGAUCCACGAGGAACAAAUUGAAGAAAACACAAAACCAAGAUGAUGCAUGAAGAAACCAAAAAGAUAGAAAAAAGAAAACAAACGGUGAGGAUGAUCCAUGAGGAACAAAUAUAAGAAAACACAAACCUCUCCCGAGUUGUGUAUAUAUAUAACCUUACCGAUUUUCACUGAAAGUACUCUGCUCACAAUAUUUUCAGUGAAUAUGGACUUUAAGUCUCUGCAUCAGUUGUGACCCUCGCAUCUCGUAUAGGUACGUGGCUAUUUACUGCAUUUAAUUUUUAGUUUAUGGGGUUUAGGGUUUAUACACACACACAUAUAUGUGUGUGUGUGUGUAUUAUUUUAGCUAUAUAUCUAAAUAUAUAAAAGCACCCCAAAAUGAUGAAACCAGAGUUACAUAUUCGUCCAGUUCUUUCUGUGUUUGUCAUCUAGACUUUUGUAAAUUUCUACUCUCCUAAGUUAACUUUACUUAAAUUUCCAGGGAGUAAAGUAUGUUGGAAAUAUUGCUACUUCUCCUACAACAAAUCACAUAAAAAUAAUAUUAACAUAUGAUAAUUUUAUUGCCACUGUUUGUUAAAUAAAAUAAACAAAAUAAGAUAAACUACUUAUCUUUUGUAGGUGGAAAACGAUGUUCGUCGAUGCUUGAUUAGAACAAUUUUAAGUUGAGGCAUGUAAGUUAAGUGACAUAAAAAUAAUAUUAAUAUAUGAUAAUUUUAUUGCCACAGUUUAUUAAAUAAAAUAAACAAAAUAAGAUAAACUACUUAUCUUUUGUAUGUGGAAAACACUGUUCGUCGAUGCUUGAUUAGAGCAAUUUUAGGUUGAGGCAUGUAAUAAGUUAAGUGUCCUUAAGAUAUCUUGUGACUAAUUCAUGAAAUUUCGCAUUAUCAUUUGUAAAUAUUAUCUCUACGAAAAAUUAAAAAAUAAGGUUUUUAGUCAAUCAAUAGUAAAUAGAUAAACGAUUCGUACUGUUUGUACUGUAUUCGACCACCUGUUUUAUAUGGUUCGAUGACUAAAUUAUCUUUACAGAGUAAUUUAUAGUAUGAGUGGCUCUAAUUAUAGGCAAGCAUUUCCGUAGAUUGGUUAAUCAUUCUGCUUUGUGUAUUAGUUGAAUGGGAUGACAUAUGUUAAGGUCGGAGAGUCUGUGGAGCUAGAUGUUUUAAGAGCACUGAGUCGUACCCGUUUGAAUCUGACGGUGGUUGACCACGAGAGUAACCCGGAAGAAUUGAACGGGUAAAUUGUCAUGUAUGCAUUUUGGGAUUAGUUUUUUAUUUUAUUAGUUAAAGAGUCAUUUCACGUGAUUUCUAUUAAAUUUUUAUUGUCAAAUUUGUAGGCAUUUUGUUCUUUGAGCAAUUACUUAAAAUGAUCCAAUUUUUUCAUAUUUGAUUGCUAAAAUGAUCGAAAUCAAAUAUUGACGACAUAUCAAUCAUAUAUUAACGACAUACCGAUAAGAUAACGACAUGUUAAAAACGGAUUAUUUCAACUAGACUUGAUAAUUUCUUACACGAUCUAUUAACAUGACACGUAAACGACACAAAAAUAACAGAUUUCAGGUCAACACAAUAACUAAUUGGGUCAUCAUCAGGUCACACAAUAAGAACCCGUUAAUAACGAUCCUUAACAGGCUUACACGAAAGUGACACGCAGGUAACCUGUUUCGACACGAUAAGAAAAAGGUUAUUUUGAUGAUUUUAAUUUUUUAAACUACUAAAAAAACUUACUACAAAAUAUUAUAGGGAACUUUAACAAAAGCUUCUGAUACUGUUCACUUUAACGAAAAAUCACAUUUUACACUAAAAAGUCAAUCCUGGUACUAUUCACUUUACCCUUUAUUUUG
rnacentral:lncRNA from 1 species